rnacentral:rRNA from 1 species
GUUGAACGCUGGCGGCAUGCCCUACACAUGCAAGUCGAACGGUAACAGGUCUUCGGAUGCUGACGAGUGGCGAACGGGUGAGUAAUACAUCGGAACGUGCCUAGUAGUGGGGGAUAACUACUCGAAAGAGUGGCUAAUACCGCAUGAGAUCUACUGAUGAAAGCAGGGGAUCGCAAGACCUUGUGCUACUAGAGCGGCCGAUGGCAGGUUAGGUAGUUGGUGGGCUAAAAGCUUACCAAGCCGACGAUCUUUAGCUGGUCUGCGAGGACGAUCAGCCACACUGGGACUGAGACACGGCCCAGACUCCUACGGGAGGCAGCAGUGGGGAAUUUUGGACAAUGGGCGAAAGCCUGAUCCAGCAAUGCCGCGUGCAGGAUGAAGGCCUUCGGGUUGUAAACUGCUUUUGUACGGAACGAAAAGCCCCGGGUUAAUACCCUGGGGUCAUGACGGUACCGUAAGAAUAAGCACCGGCUAACUACGUGCCAGCCGCCGCGGUAA